CAGUCGCCGCGGGAAUACGGAGGGCGCGAGCGUUACCCGGAUUUACUGGGCGUAAAGGGCAUGUAGGCGGCCUGGGGCGUCCCAUGUGAAAGGCCACGGCUCAACCGUGGAGGAGCGUGGGAUACGCUCAGGCUAGAGGGUGGGAGAGGGUGGUGGAAUUCCCGGAGUAGCGGUGAAAUGCGCAGAUACCGGGAGGAACGCCGAUGGCGAAGGCAGCCACCUGGUCCACUUCUGACGCUGAGGCGCGAAAGCGUGGGGAGCAAACCGGAUUAGAUACCCCGGUAGUCCCUGUCUCUUAUAA
rnacentral:rRNA from 1 species